AUCUAGAUCUGUUUCGGUUAUCACAACUACAGCACCAUCAUCGAAGGCUAGCAAAUUCCGUCUGGAGAAGAUUGAGCUCCGUGGGAUCAAACUAGUCAAGGGGGUAGAACUGUAUGACUUUUUCACCAUGAGAUGGUAAAAAUCCUGGACAGCCUGUCGUUGUGUAGAGGCCAAAAGCACCCUUGGACGAAUUGACUUCACAUAGUUAUAUGCAUCAUUUGGUGUCAUCUGCUUGUACUUAACCAAGUAGCACAAGACAAUGGUCGUGCUACGUCCUCGACCAGCCUUGCAGUGCACAUAUGUACUUUGUCCAUUGGAAGCAUUUUCGUGGAUGAACUCUACUGCUUGACAUAUAUUAUUCAGAGAUGGGGCAAAUAAGUAAUCUCUUGUUGGGAGAACCAAAUGACGAAUACCAUGAGCCUCAUAUAAAGAUGUCGGAACUAAAGUCUCAUAUGGCUCAUUUAGGGUGACAACACCGGAGACACCAAGCUCCUUAAGCCUUUUCACAUCCGAUGGGAAAGGGACAGCACCUAAUAACACAAACUCAUCAAUCCAGUCCCACCAGCGAAACUCCACUUGAAUCUUGUUCCUAACAACAUUGUAGAGAAGUGUCGGGUAAAACAAAGCCCGAGCACCAACUCCAACCAUGACCCUCCUGACAUCCAACACAACAAUAGCAUUCUUGCCACUACUACCACCAGAAUACACCACCUUAUCAGCAGGAGAUGAUUUCUCUGCCUUCUCUACCACACCAGCCAUCUCCACUUCCCCAUUCUCCAACUCUCCUCUCUUCUCUUCCUCUAUAUACAUGAUAAUACUUGAAACAGGAAAAAAAAAAUCUAUACAACUGACUGAUCACAAAAAGAGAGGAAAAAAACAAAAUGCAGAACCCACUUGCCAAAGUAAUUAAAAAAAAGAUUUACACAACGCACUGACAAACAAAGUGCAAAUUCCACACCAAAACACAAACUUUCACCUAAAAUUCAAACUAAGAGACUUAUAAACCCAAUAUCAUUCUCAUCACUGUCUUCAAAAUCAACAUAAAAUAAAUGGACCCUUCCCUCAAAAUUAGGCAAAUUAUCAGUAAAACGGAUCGGGGUCGCUGAAAUUGCAACAAAGGUUCGAACUUUGGCUGAAAUCACGGUAGACUUUGCAAAUUUCAACCAUAUUCAGAGAAAAUUGUAUCGAUCAGACGGAAAAGAUCUUGCGGAGAUGGUUGAGACCCUUGAUUUGGAAAAGCAAUCGAAUCCGAAUCGGUAAAAGAGUGGAGAUAGCUUAGGAU
rnacentral:misc_RNA from 1 species